UACGGAGGGUGCGAGCGUUGUCCGGAAUCACUGGGCGUAAAGGGCGCGUAGGCGGCCUGAUAAGUAGGGGGUGAAAUCCUGCGGCUUAACCGCAGGGCUGCCUUCUAAACUGUCAGGCUGGAGCACAGUAGAGGCAGGUGGAAUUCCCGGUGUAGCGGUGGAAUGCGUAGAGAUCAUGAGGAAGACCAGUGGCGAAGGCGGGUCUCUGGACAGUUCCUGACACUGAGGCACGAAGGCCAGGGGAGCAAACGGG
rnacentral:rRNA from 1 species